AGAAGGCCGCGAUCCGCGGCCUCCCCGGACGAGGUGCCCGCCGUACCCGGCCCAGCGAAGACGGUGGGCGGA
rnacentral:ncRNA from 1 species